CAGAAGUUGGUUUUAUCACAAAGAACACCGCUUGUGGUUUAUUAGGGUCCCCAACAUGGAGCCACUAGUCAAAACAAACACCUAUGAGAGAGGAUCCUAUCACUGUUUUGAUCCAAACACAUUUGAAACAAUCCGCAAGGAUAAUUUUGUGCUUCAUUAUGAGAUGUUGGAAAAGAAACCGGCUCUACCUCAACAUUAACAUGUGUCUUUUUUUUCCUUAUUUUUUCUUUUUUCUUUAAUUUUUUUCUCCGUCCUCGAUAAGUAAUGUUGACAAGUCCUCUUGUAAAGGUUUUGUAAUCUUGUACUGUUCAUUAGUA